rnacentral:rRNA from 1 species
CCUACGGGAGGCAGCAGUGGGGAAUAUUGGACAAUGGGGGCAACCCUGAUCCAGCCAUGCCGCGUGUGUGAAGAAGGCCCUCGGGUUGUAAAGCACCUUCAGCGAGGAAGAACGCCUAGCGGUUAAUACCCGCUAGGAAAGACAUCACUCGCAGAAGAAGCACCGGCUAACUCCGUGCCAGCAGCCGCGGUAAUACGGAGGGUGCAAGCGUUAAUCGGAAUUACUGGGCGUAAAGCGCGCGUAGGUGGCUUGAUAAGCCGGUUGUGAAAGCCCCGGGCUCAACCUGGGAACGGCAUCCGGAACUGUCAAGCUAGAGUGCAGGAGAGGAAGGUAGAAUUCCCGGUGUAGCGGUGAAAUGCGUAGAGAUCGGGAGGAAUACCAGUGGCGAAGGCGGCCUUCUGGACUGACACUGACACUGAGGUGCGAAAGCGUGGGUAGCAAACAGGAUUAGAUACCCUGGUAGUCCACGCCGUAAACGAUGUCGACCAGCCGUUGGGUGCCUAGCGCACUUUGUGGCGAAGUUAACGCGAUAAGUCGACCGCCUGGGGAGUACGGCCGCAAGGUUAAAACUCAAAUGAAUUGACGGA